UUCGGGAUGCCGGCGAGUGGCGAACGGGUGCGUAACGCGUGGAAACCUGCCCUGAGAUGGGGGACAACAGCUGGAAACGGCUGCUAAUACCGCAUAAGCCCUACGGGGGAAAGACACAAGUCGUCUUGGGAGGGGUCCGCGUCGGAUUAGCUUGUUGGCGAGGUAAUGGCUCACCAAGGCGAUGAUCCGUAGCUGGUCUGAGAGGACGAUCAGCCACACUGGGACUGAGACACGGCCCAGACUCCUACGGGAGGCAGCAGUGGGGAAUAUUGCGCAAUGGGGAAACCCUGACGCAGCGAUACCGCGUGGGUGAAGAAGGUCUUCGGAUUGUAAAGCCCUUUCAGUGGGAAAGAUGAUGACGGUACCCACAGAAGAAGCUCCGGCUAACUCCGUGCCAGCAGCCGCGGUAAUACGGAGGGGGCGAGCGUUGUUCGGAAUUACUGGGCGUAAAGGGCGCGUAGGCUGUUUUGCAAG
rnacentral:rRNA from 1 species